CCACAUUGUGAACAACAGAUCCUAUUUUCUAAGACUAAUUAGUUGGAUUCCAAGCCCACUAAAACAAGAGUUAACCCUAUAUAUAUAAGGGUUAAAACCUUAGAAUUCUUUCAUUUGAAACAGCCGAUCACCCUUAUCCUUUCCUUCCCUCUCAUUUGUUGUCUACAACUAUUAUCUAAACACACAAGAAAAUCACUGAUCAUUUCAUCCAAAUAGAAUCAUCUCCAUUCCAAUAUACACACACAAACCUCCCAUCUACACUGACAUCUCUCUCUCGUUUACAUUAAUCAAACACAAGUCCCCAUCUUCACAAACAAGUAGUCAAACAACCACAGCCGCAUACCCCCCUCUCUCUCCCCUCUCGGCUCCGAUCUCGGCAGCAGACACGCCGCCGUGAGCGGCGGUGGUGGUUCUGAGCAGUGACGACCAGCGGUACCCCCCCCCCCCUUUUCGGCAGAUCGAGCAACAACCACCACCAUCGGGUGGUGGUGAGCGACGGUUCAAGGAGAGAGAGAAAGAGAGAGAGAGUCAGACGAGAGCGAGAGUUAGACGAGGAGAGAGAGAGAGAGAAAUGGCAUGAUGCCGUUUUCCGGCGACGAUCCGCCGUCAGCGGUGGAGCCGCGACGGCUGUGGUGGUGCUGUAGUGCCGACUAGCUGCUCAGGUCAGCAGAGGUGGUCUCCGGUUCAAAUCUAGUGCAAUGGGUUCAAGUAUGUAGAUUCCAGUGGGUUCUUGGUUCGAGCUCCUCAGUUCAGAUUCAUUGUGGUUCGGGUUUUGUAGCGGGUCGGCUGGUCAACGGGUUCGGGACGGUCAGCGGUUCGGCUCGGGUCAACAUUCAUUUUCGGGUCACGACAUGGCUUCGGGUCAGAAUCGGGCUCGAGACCUCUCGGGUUUUCAGUUUCGUGUCGAACCUGGUUGACUCGUUCAACACCCGAGUCAACUCGGGUCAAAGCAGAUCGGCCGGUCAAAAACAGUAAACUAUUUUGGCUUGGAUUUCGGUUCAGAUUCGCGUAUGGGUCUCGCGGGUCAAGUCUCGGGUUUGGUCAGACUUGGUCAAAGUCAGAAAGGUUUUAGAUCGGGUGCUCGUGUCAGCUUUGUUUGAGUCAACAAGUCAACUCGCUUCAGGUUCAACUCGGUUCAACAGCAGGUCAAACGUGGUCAACACGAAGGACCCGGAAUGCUUUAGUUGCACGCUAGCGAGUUCACAUUCGUGGGAUGACACUACGGAAUCACAUUUAGCUAGCUAUGCACAGGAAUAUACAGGCUAUCAACUGAGACUUUGGAGAAUAUCCACUAGCAAUCUCAAGUAAAAGCAAAGAAUUCAGAGACAGAGAGAGUGAAACCGCUAGAGAGAGACACGACGCUGACGGGAGCGGGUGCCAGGCAUGGCCUCCGGCCGGCCACUUUAUCUUGAGGACUCCGGUGGUCUUGCUUGUGUGCGUCGGAGUGUCGAUCAGAGAGAGAGAGAGAGAGAGAGAUAACGAUGGGAGUGGGUGCUGGCCAGCGACCGGUGAUGCUGCUUGUGGAUCCCGUCAUAGGUAACGGUGGUGCGUUUGGAGAUUUCACAGCGACCGAUGAUGGUGGUGUGGUUUCACGGCGGAGAAGAUGAGUGGACUCGGUUGCUUGCUUGGGCGGGCAGACAUGGUAGAAGAGGGGAUGUUGGUGGGUAGGGGCGGCGACAAUCGUCAGUUUUGGUGUCGUAGGAUUAUCGUGGUGCAGUCAUCCCUAUCAUUCCUCCUGUUUAUUUUCACUUCAGUCUCCGUCGUUUUCACCAGAAAGUGGAUACUUGUUGCCAUAUUGC
rnacentral:lncRNA from 1 species